CCUUUCGGUCACGCGAGAAAACAGGCUACUCUCAUGCGCGCUCUGUCUUUGUUCCAAGAUUGAUUAAACGACUCGUGUGUUUCUCUUCGUCCUGAGAAUUGCUGUGAAGCUAGAUAACAUGCUAAUGCUGUGUUCUGAACAUAGUUUGACAAGUUUAGUCGACAUAUAAUAUGUCAUUUCGACGUUUUGGUGCGCACCCACUUGACUUUUUGGCUGCAUUUCAACCGAAAUGUGUCGUGUUUGAUCACCGAAAGACACAGACUUCCAAACUAAAGCUGUUUUUGGUUCCAGUGUCUGUGAAGGGAGGGUGCAGGUCCGUCCUUGGGAAGAAGGAGACAGUGCCCUGCCAGUCAACACCACCUCAUAAGAGGAGGAAGUACAUUGUUUAUGAGGUUUGCCUGCUGCAGUUGUUCGAGAGAUGUCCAGUUUGCAGCCGAACAUCCAACAUAGAGAAGACCAGCAAGGGGACCCUUAGCAUCACGAAGACAUGCCCUCACUGUGAGCAUUCCUAUAAAAGGGACAUCGAUGGGGAGACCAGAAUUAGAAACAUUUAUGGAGCCAGCACAUGGAGACUUGCAAGAUGAUGAAGUCCAAACUGACAGACAGGCUUGAUGGAGAGAGACCCGGCACUCUGCAUUUGUCGCGCUCUGACCAUAGAGAGCCUUUUUUAUUCUGUAUUUUGGUUUGGUCGGGGUGUAACUAGGGGGAUUGUUCCUAUCUAGGUGUUUUGUUUUCUAUCUUGGCCAGGUAUGGUUCCCAAUCAGAGGCAGCUGUUUAUCAUUGUCUCUGAUCGGGGAUCAUAUUUAGGCAGCCAUUUCCCCACUGGUUUUUGUGGGAUCUUGUUUUUGUGUAGUGCCUGUGAGCUCUACAUUUGCUUCACGUUUCGUUACUCUUUAUUGUUUUUGUGAGUUUCAUUGAAUAAACAUGUGGAACUCUACACACGCUGCACCUUGGUCCAUUUAUUCCAACGAUGGUGACAGCAUUAACAUUUUACUAGACAAC
ensembl:lncRNA